AAAAGCAAAAAUGGUACUCCUUACUACUUCUCUUCAUGCUAACCUGUUAAAUCACCAGUGCAGCUACUUCAUCUAUGUCUAGGGAAAGUUAAAGUUUCUGAGUAGAGUCUGAUAAAAAGAUGAAGUUACAGAAGGAUACUGAAUCAAGUCUGCCUCAUUUCUAGUUUGGGUGAUUUUUCCCAACAGGGCAGAGAAGAAUCAAUCAUUACAGUGGUUUUUCACUCUAUUGACUCUCUUAAUUUGAACAGGUAAACUUGAGCACUGGUUCAUAGGACUUAGGUGGAGCCGGAGGUACUAAUACAUUAUCCUCAUUUUGUAUUAGAAUUUUUUUUUUCAGUGUCACCAGAAACAGUGGAAACAAUAUUAACUUGCCUUUGGCAUAUAAUAGGCCAAAAUUUUAAAGUGAGAGGCAAAAUUUGCAUCACUUACUGAAUUGGAGUUUUAUGAUGCACAAGUUCUUAAAAUAAUUGACAGCUGGCUGAUUUUGAGAUUACAAUUUAAGUUGCUGGAAGUCAGCCAUUCUGGAUGGGUGUGAAAGAUGAUUGUGUUAAGCGUAUUCACUGUUUGGUUUUAAACAUAGAUUCUGCUAAAGUGGUUUGAGAAGUGCUUGGAAGCAGUUUAUGGUGUAGAUCCAGCAUAUUCCCUACAGUCUGUGUCCAUCUGGCUCUCAAGGUAGGUAGAAUGGCCUGGGACAACUCGGUAUCCNNNNNNNNNNNNNNNNNNNNNNNNNNNNNNNNNNNNNNNNNNNNNNNNNNNNNCUUCUUCCUCCUGCCAGAAUGGCUCUGUUAGGCAUUAUUCCUUUGUCUAUACCAGUUGUAUCAUCCCAGGUCCUUUUUUGUGAUAACAAAUGUUUUGGGGAGAGGCAAUAUUUUGCAAGAAUUAAUCUUGAAUGUCUUAGCAAGUUUCUGUACUGAUAGAAAGGAAUGGCAUUUUUAAGGCAGAAGGGAGAUUUUUUUUCUCAUAACUUUAUAAGUGCCCCCUUUGCAUUUGUCAUUCUUAGGUUGUUUCCCUCACCUCAUUCUAUUAAUGUCCUCGAUAUACAAUCAAGAAUCAUUACCUCAGAAGGAGAGAGAAAUAUAAAGAUUGUCAAAAGAGAAGAUGAAUGCAUGAGGGAUUAUAGAAAAGCAUAAUUAAUCAUUUUUGUUUGUGCUUGAGGCCAAUAAUGUCUUGAAACCCAUAUUUGAGAUAAUACAGAGAGAUUUUGUCAUGCUGAAAUCCACAAAACUUUAAUAUGAGAAUAAAGUGGCCUUUGGGUGUUUUAGUGUUGCAGGGGACUCUUGGGUCUCAGGGAAAUCUUUAUAGACUGUACUGGUGAAAUACCUCAUUCUUCCCCAGUGGCCUAAGUUAACCCCUGUACACAAAGGCAGCCCUAGGGAAGAGAUGAAGUAGGGAAGGGGAUUCCAUAUGGACUCUUUGUGAGUGUCCCUGGUUUGUCUACCAGAAACUUG
rnacentral:lncRNA from 1 species